rnacentral:rRNA from 1 species
UUGGAGGGCAAGUCUGGUGCCAGCAGCCGCGGUAAUUCCAGCUCCAAUAGCGUAUAUUAAAGUUGUUGCAGUUAAAAAGCUCGUAGUUGAAUUUCGGGAUCAAUUUAUCGGUCGUGCCUCUGGUAUGCACUGGUAUUAUUGAUUUCUACCUUCUGACGAACCAUGAUGUCAUUUAUUUGGUGUCAUGGGGAAUCAGGACUGUUACUUUGAAAAAAUUAGGGUGUUUAAAGCAAGCACACGCUUGAAUACAUUAGCAUGGAAUAAUGAAAUAGGACGUUUGACCCUAUUUUGUUGGUUUCUAGGAUCGACGUAAUGAUUAAUAGGGAUAGUUGGGGGCAUUAGUAUUCAAUUGUCAGAGGUGAAAUUCUUGGAUUUAUUGAAGACUAACUACUGCGAAAGCAUUUGCCAAGGAUGUUUUCAUUAAUCAAGAACGAAAGUUAGGGGAUCGAAGACGAUCAGAUACCGUCGUAGCCUUAACCAUAAACUAUGCCGACUAGGGAUCGGAUGAUGUUAAUUUUUUAAUGACUCAUUCGGCGCCUUACGGGAAAC